UACAGAGGGUGCAAGCGUUGUUCGGAAUUAUUGGGCGUAAAGGGCGCGUAGGCGGUGCGGUAAGUCUGUAGUGAAAUCUCUGGGGCUCAACUCAGAGUCUGCUGCAGAAACUGCCGUGCUUGAGUGUGGGAGAGGUGAGUGGAAUUCCCGGUGUAGCGGUGAAAUGCGUAGAUAUCGGAAGGAACACCGGUGGCGAAAGCGGCGCGCUGGACCUCUUCUGACGCUGAGGCGGCGAAAGCCAGGGGAGCGAACGGG
rnacentral:rRNA from 1 species